rnacentral:rRNA from 1 species
AAUAGAUACCCGGGUAGUCCACGCCGUAAACGAUGAGUGCUAAGUGUUAGAGGGUUUCCGCCCUUUAGUGCUGCAGCAAACGCAUUAAGCACUCCGCCUGGGGAGUACGGCCGCAAGGCUGAAACUCAAAGGAAUUGACGGGGGCCCGCACAAGCGGUGGAGCAUGUGGUUUAAUUCGAAGCAACGCGAAGAACCUUACCAGGUCUUGACAUCCUCUGACAAUCCUAGAGAUAGGACGUUCCCCUUCGGGGGACAGAGUGACAGGUGGUGCAUGGUUGUCGUCAGCUCGUGUCGUGAGAUGUUGGGUUAAGUCCCGCAACGAGCGCAACCCUUGAUCUUAGUUGCCAGCAUUCAGUUGGGCACUCUAAGGUGACUGCCGGUGACAAACCGGAGGAAGGUGGGGAUGACGUCAAAUCAUCAUGCCCCUUAUGACCUGGGCUACACACGUGCUACAAUGGAUGGUACAAAGGGCUGCAAGACCGCGAGGUUUAGCCAAUCCCAUAAAACCAUUCUCAGUUCGGAUUGCAGGC